rnacentral:rRNA from 1 species
UACGGGGGGUGCGAGCGUUGUCCGGAAUCAUUGGGCGUAAAGCGCACGUAGGCGGUUCGUUAUGUCGGAUGUGAAAGCCCUUGGCUUAACCGAGGAAGUGCAUCCGAAACUGGCGAGCUAGAGUACGAAAGAGAAUCGCGGAAUUCCCGGUGUAGAGGUGAAAUUCGUAGAUAUCGGGAGGAACACCGGUGGCGAAGGCGGCGAUCUGGGUCGAUACUGACGCUGAGGUGCGAAAGCGUGGGGAGCAAACAGG